AUUUUAUCUGGGAUGUAAUCUGUGAUGUAUGUUGCACGUCGAUGGUUGAUCGGUGUAUGCCUCCUACAAGCAAGCCUUGCGCAGAUUGAGAUCAUAGGUUGAUUGAAGAUGGAUCAAGGAGUUGAUUACAAUUGAACCUAAGGGAUCAAGAUCGAGUCAAGAGUUGAAGACGAUCAAACCAAUUGACGUGCAUGUGCUUGUACUAUGACCCAUCCUGGAUCCAUGAUCAUCACCAGUUACAUUUACUACUUUUUAUAUAUAUGCCUGGAUGUUUAAUAUUUAUGCCUAUGCAUAGUGGGUAGAUGGAUGUGUGCAUGAGAUGCGAGUUGCCAAUCGAAAGAGACCUAAACUAAAACCUCCUCAAUCAAGUCGAGAGUGAACCAACAUGAGCGGGUCAUAUUAGAUUAAUUGAUCUAAUUGGUGUCU
rnacentral:lncRNA from 1 species